CAGUCGCCACGGUAAUACGAAGGGGGCUAGCGUUGCUCGGAAUGACUGGGCGUAAAGGGCGCGUAGGCGGCUUGACAAGUCUUGUGUGAAAUCUAUGGGCUCAACCCAUAGUCUGCACGGGAAACUGUCGGGCUUGAGAAUGGGAGAGGUGAGUGGAAUUUCCGGUGUAGCGGUGAAAUGCGUAGAUAUCGGAAGGAACACCUGUGGCGAAAGCGGCUCACUGGACCAUUUCUGACGCUGAUGCACGAAAGCUAGGGGAGCAAACAGGAUUAGAUACCCCAGUAGUCCCUGUCUCUUAUAC
rnacentral:rRNA from 1 species